rnacentral:lncRNA from 1 species
CCAAUUUCUAUCAUCUACCAUCAAAAAAGGAUUUCGUCUUGCAUCCACCCUCCCUUCAGUUGCUGAGUGUGAUGAAAAUGUAAAUGACACUUACCUGGAUGUGAAUCAAAUUAUGAAACCCUUGAUUAUGGAAGAGGCUUCUCAGGAGCCCUUCUUUGUUCAGCACCACAACACAGAAGGACCCAUGAAAGAAGAAUUAACUGAAUUUAUAAGUAAUGAUGUGGCGCAGACAUCAGAAGCAGCUGAUACUUGUGUUUACAGCCAGAUGGUGGAUAAAUCACAGGAAGAUAUUGAGACAGAAAGGAAUCCUGUUUCUGGGG